AACAGCAACCCCCUAUCUGUAUUUUGUCUGAUUUUUUUUAGCAUCUUUCUGUAACGCUUUAGGCUCUCACUGUGCUCUGUGUCUCCCAGUGGAAUCCUAUUGAACAUACCCAUGGUAGCACUGGCCUUCACAAGCCUUCAGCAGCACUUUCAUCGAAAGACACUUCCCACUUUUUCAGGCACUCUUGAUGAACAAACUGCAGGCUUCCCACACAGCCACAAGGCUCCAGGAGGGGGUUGGCUGGGGAACCCCCGGCUAUCUGACAGAUGCGACACAAGUCUCCCUCCUCCUCCGAAUCCUCCUCCAGGAGACUAAAUGGAAAACAAGCCCUCGUGACCAGGUGUCUACACGCUUGCCUCUUCCAUAAAUACCGAUACCCAAGGUAUUAACGUGGGAAAGAAGAAGGAGAAUCCAACCACCUGUCUGCCAGGGCUCCAGGGCUUACCCACUGCUCCUUCGGACCUGACUGACAGUUCUUCCAGGGACCCAGACAUAUGCAAGUGGCCUUGUAAGUUCAUUCUUGAUGGAGAGGAGCUGGAAGAAUCCACCGAGGACAAGUCACCUUGAGGAUUUAGUGAUAGAUCUUCUGGAUAUAAUGGAGCCCCCUGAGGCUGACUUGUGAAAGUAAUAUCUUCUGCUCCCCCAACAUCACAUGCAUGUGGAGUGCUUCCUGGAAAAUAACUGUGGUUUUCAGCACUGGCAAUUGGAUUCCUAUUUCUAAUGGGGGACAGUGGUCGACGAACAUUAAACCUUGAGUUUCCCUCUGAGUCUGAACUGGGAACUAAAUUAGAUGACACUGACAAGUCUACUGGAAUGUCACCUCUCAGAGCAGAAGGCAAUGAUGACCCGGGAGCACAAUAAGAGGAAUUCCUUGAUGAUCUCGGAAGUGUUGGUCUACCAGAAGGAAAGUAGUCAAGAGAAUUUCUAGAACUAUUUAAAUAGGCUUGCCAAUCUCUUUCAUAAUCAUGGGUGCCAGAUCUAUCUGCCAUAGAAGUACAAUCAGUAGAAACACUUUCAGCAUUGAGACCACCCUUUUGUCUGGGUUCAGAUUUGGUGUCCCAUGAAUGAAAGGCCUUUUUCUCAUUUUCAUUGCCACCACUGUCAUUCCCUUUGGCAGACUCCCCAUCAAUCAGCCCAGGGUCUUGGAACAUCUUUUGCCCGACAGAAGGCUGCUCUGUCACUGGCUCCAUUGCAUUGCUUAUUCUUAAUGAGCCAUGACUAAGCUCGCUGCUUCUUGAGGAAUUAGCUCUGCGAUUUUCAGGAUCUUCUUCAAAGUUUUUAUUUUUUGUCUGAGUGGUCAAUGUCCCAAGAAA